CCGUAGUACGCAANCUGCNAGUGAGCGGUAGAGAGAACUUGCUUCUCUUGAGAGCGGCGGACGGGUGAGUAAUGCCUAGGAAUCUGCCUGGUAGUGGGGGAUAACGUUCGGAAACGGACGCUAAUACCGCAUACGUCCUACGGGAGAAAGCAGGGGACCUUCGGGCCUUGCGCUAUCAGAUGAGCCUAGGUCGGAUUAGCUAGUUGGUGAGGUAAUGGCUCACCAAGGCGACGAUCCGUAACUGGUCUGAGAGGAUGAUCAGUCACACUGGAACUGAGACACGGUCCAGACUCCUACGGGAGGCAGCAGUGGGGAAUAUUGGACAAUGGGCGAAAGCCUGAUCCAGCCAUGCCGCGUGUGUGAAGAAGGUCUUCGGAUUGUAAAGCACUUUAAGUUGGGAGGAAGAGCAGUUACCUAAUACGUGAUUGUUUUGACGUUACCGACAGAAUAAGCACCGGCUAACUCUGUGCCAGCAGCCGCGGUAAUACAGAGGGUGCAAGCGUUAAUCGGAAUUACUGGGCGUAAAGCGCGCGUAGGUGGUUUGUUAAGUUGGAUGUGAAAUCCCCGGGCUCAACCUGGGAACUGCAUUCAAAACUGACUGACUAGAGUGUGGUAGAGGGUGGUGGAAUUUCCUGUGUAGCGGUGAAAUGCGUAGAUAUAGGAAGGAACACCAGUGGCGAAGGCGACCACCUGGACCAACACUGACACUGAGGUGCGAAAGCGUGGGGAGCAAACAGGAUUAGAUACCCUGGUAGUCCACGCCGUAAACGAUGUCAACUAGCCGUUGGGAGCCUUGAGCUCUUAGUGGCGCAGCUAACGCAUUAAGUUGACCGCCUGGGGAGUACGGCCGCAAGGUUAAAACUCAAAUGAAUUGACGGGGGCCCGCACAAGCGGUGGAGCAUGUGGUUUAUUUCGAACAACGCGAAAACCUUACCAGGCCUUGACAUCCAAUGAACUUUCUAGAGAUAGAUUGGUGCCUUCGGGAACAUUUGAAACAGUGCUGCAUGGCUGUCGUCAGCUCGGGUCGUGAGAUGUUGGGUUAGUCCCCUUACGAGCGCAACCUUGUCCUUUUUACCGCCCGUCUUGGGGGCACCCUAAGGGACUGCGGGGACAAACCGAAGAGGGGGGAUAAUUCAGUCAUCUGGCCUUUAGGCGGGGUACACCGUGUACAGGGCGGACCAAGGUUCCAACG
rnacentral:rRNA from 1 species